CCUACGGGAGGCUGCAGUAGGGAAUCUUCCACAAUGGACGAAAGUCUGAUGGAGCAACGCCGCGUGAGUGAAGAAGGGUCUCGGCUCGUAAAGCCCUGUUGGUAGUGAAGAAAGAUAGAGGUAGUAACUGGCCUUUAUUUGACGGUAAUUACUUAGAAAGUCACGGCUAACUACGUGCCAGCAGCCGCGGUAAUACGUAGGUGGCAAGCGUUGUCCGGAUUUAUUGGGCGUAAAGCGGGUGCAGGCGGUUCAAUAAGUCUGAUGUGAAAGCCUUCGGCUCAACCGGAGAAUUGCAUCAGAAACUGUUGAACUUGAGUGCAGGAGAGGAGAGUGGAACUCCAUGUGUAGCGGUGGAAUGCGUAGAUAUAUGGAAGAACACCAGUGGCGAAGGCGGCUCUCUGGUCUGCAACUGACGCUGAGGCUCGAAAGCAUGGGUAGCGAACAGGAUUAGAUACCCCUGUAGUC
rnacentral:rRNA from 1 species